rnacentral:rRNA from 1 species
GCGGCAGGCUUAACACAUGCAAGUCGAGGGGUAACAGGGAUUGCUUGCAAUCCGCUGACGACCGGCGCACGGGUGCGUAACGCGUAUGCAACCUACCUUCUACAGGGGGAUAGUCAAUAGAAAUGUUGAAUAAUACCCCAUACGAUCAUUAAUCUGCAUGGAUUGAUGAAGAAAGUUCCGGCGGUAGAAGAUGGGCAUGCGUCCUAUUAGUUAGUUGGUAAGGUAACGGCUUACCAAGACAUCGAUAGGUAGGGGUCCUGAGAGGGAGAUCCCCCACACUGGUACUGAGACACGGACCAGACUCCUACGGGAGGCAGCAGUGAGGAAUAUUGGACAAUGGAGGCAACUCUGAUCCAGCCAUGCCGCGUGCAGGAAGACUGCCCUAUGGGUUGUAAACUGCUUUUAUACAGGAAGAAUAGGACCUACGUGUAGGUAUUUGACGGUACUGUACGAAUAAGGAUCGGCUAACUCCGUGCCAGCAGCCGCGGUAAUACGGAGGAUCCAAGCGUUAUCCGGAAUCAUUGGGUUUAAAGGGUCCGUAGGCGGUCUGAUAAGUCAGAGGUGAAAUCCUGCAGCUCAACUGUAGCAUUGCCUUUGAUACUGUUAGACUUGA